CCUACGGGAGGCUGCAGUGGGGAAUAUUGGACAAUGGGCGAAAGCCUGAUCCAGCCAUGCCGCGUGUGUGAAGAAGGCCUUCGGGUUGUAAAGCACUUUCAGUGGGGAAGAAAGCCUUGGGGCUAAUACCCUCGAGGAAGGACAUCACCCACAGAAGAAGCACCGGCUAACUCCGUGCCAGCAGCCGCGGUAAUACGGAGGGUGCGAGCGUUAAUCGGAAUUACUGGGCGUAAAGCGCGCGUAGGCGGUCUGAUAAGCCGGUUGUGAAAGCCCCGGGCUCAACCUGGGAACGGCAUCCGGAACUGGCAGGCUAGAGUGCAGGAGAGGAAGGUAGAAUUCCCGGUGUAGCGGUGAAAUGCGUAGAGAUCGGGAGGAAUACCAGUGGCGAAGGCGGCCUUCUGGACUGACACUGACGCUGAGGUGCGAAAGCGUGGGUAGCAAACAGGAUUAGAUACCCCUGUAGUC
rnacentral:rRNA from 1 species